ACCAAAGGAAUCAUUCUGAAAUCAACUCUUGAUGUUCAGCACCCUUCAGUCUGUAGUGCAGGUUUCAUAGAGCAGUGUGUUUAACAAUACAGAAAGAAAUUCCUGCUCCCACUGCCAGCCGACUAAACCACAAUAAAUUAUCAUCUUCUCCACAUAAAGGGGAACAGCAGAUGAAAAGGCAUGUGCAUGCUGAGAAUAGAAAGCUUAUAAAAGUGUCAAAUUUCCAGAAAAGAUUUCAACAUCAGUUACAUGAAAGAGCUGUGUAUUCCUUAGGGGUAGAGAGAGUCUGGCACUGGGCUGUUUCUCUGCUUGUGUCCCUGUACUGACCACAGCCUCUGAAGGAAAAGAGCAAACCCUUUGACUGGAGCCUGCAUUGCUGUGAGAAGUCGGUGUUUAAAAUGUUGUGGCACUGUUUGAGGAGAGGUGGCAGUGAGCUGUCCCCAUUCCAGCAGAGUUAGGGAGUACUGGGAGCAGAAGCCUUGUUCACAGAGGAGAAGACAUCAACCAUCCCUCUCCUGGAAGUGUUUGAAGGGUUUGGCUGACCCCAAACCCUCCAGCUGGAAAGGUGAGUGCCAGGGAUCCUACAAGGAAAGUGUUACCUGUGGUAGCAAGAAAUGA